rnacentral:lncRNA from 1 species
AUUGUAUGUCAUUAGACAUCUUGUAUGAUAGUGGCAAAACACCCUUCCAAAGUUGGGUUCACCUCACCCUAUUAUUGUUCACCAAAAUCAAUUAUUAAGUGACGUAUAAUAUACGACACACACAUCUUAGGUCCUCAAUACAAUUAUAUAUUGUAUGUCAUGCCGUUUUAUAAUGUGUUGAGAAACUUUGACAGUCUCGGACCACCACACUAUUCCCC